rnacentral:tRNA from 1 species
UCGGAUAUGGUGUAACGGCUAACAUUGCCGCCUCUCACGAGUAACGCGGCAGCUCGGGGUUCGAUUCCCCGUAUCCGAG